rnacentral:rRNA from 1 species
GACGAACGCUGGCGGCGUGCUUAACACAUGCAAGUCGAACGAAGAGCGAUGGAAGCUUGCUUCUAUCAAUCUUAGUGGCGAACGGGUGAGUAACGCGUAAUCAACCUGCCCUUCAGAGGGGGACAACAGUUGGAAACGACUGCUAAUACCGCAUACGAUCUAAUCUCGGCAUCGAGGAUAGAUGAAAGGUGGCCUCUACAUGUAAGCUAUCACUGAAAGGAGGGGAUUGCGUCUGAUUAGCUAGUUGGAGGGGUAACGGCCCACCAAGGCGAUGAUCAGUAGCCGGUCUGAGAGGAUGAACGGCCACAUUGGGACUGAGACACGGCCCAGACUCCUACGGGAGGCAGCAGUGGGGAAUCUUCCGCAAUGGACGAAAGUCUGACGGAGCAACGCCGCGUGAGUGAUGAC